rnacentral:rRNA from 1 species
AGUGAACGCUGGCGGUAGGCCUAACACAUGCAAGUCGAACGGCAGCACAGUAAGAUCUUGCUCUUACGGGUGGCGAGUGGCGGACGGGUGAGGAAUACAUCGGAAUCUACUUUUUCGUGGGGGAUAACGUAGGGAAACUUACGCUAAUACCGCAUACGACCUACGGGUGAAAGCAGGGGAUCUUCGGACCUUGCGCGAUUGAAUGAGCCGAUGUCGGAUUAGCUAGUUGGCGGGGUAAAGGCCCACCAAGGCGACGAUCCGUAGCUGGUCUGAGAGGAUGAUCAGCCACCCUGGAACAGAGACACGGUCCAGACUCCUACGGGAGGCAGCAGUGGGGAAUAUUGGACAAUGGGCGAAAGCCUGAUCCAGCCAUACCGCGUGGGUGAAGAAGGCCUUCGGGUUGUAAAGCCCUUUUGUUGGGAAAGAAAAGAAGCAGGUUAAUACCCCGCUGUUCUGACGGUACCCAAAGAAUAAGCACCGGCUAACUUCGUG